rnacentral:rRNA from 1 species
CCUACGGGGGGCAGCAGUGGGGAAUAUUGCACAAUGGGGGAAACCCUGAUGCAGCGACGCCGCGUGAGUGAAGAAGUAAUUCGUUAUGUAAAGCUCUAUCAGCAGGGAAGAAAAUGACGGUACCUGAGUAAGAAGCCCCGGCUAACUACGUGCCAGCAGCCGCGGUAAUACGUAGGGGGCAAGCGUUAUCCGGAUUUACUGGGUGGAAAGGGAGCGUAGACGGCAGUGCAAGUCUGGAGUGAAAGGCGGGGGCUCAACCCCCGGUCUGCUCUGGAAACUGUACGGCUGGAGUGCAGGAGAGGUAAGUGGAAUUCCUAGUGUAGCGGUGAAAUGCGUAGAUAUUAGGAGGAACACCAGUGGCGAAGGCGGCUUACUGGACUGUAACUGACGUUGAGGCUCGAAAGCGUGGGGAGCAAACAGGAUUAGAUACCCCAGUAGUC